rnacentral:rRNA from 1 species
AGAGACAGCAGCCGCCACGGUAAUACGGAGGGUGCAAGCGUUAUCCGGAUUUAUUGGGUUUAAAGGGUCCGUAGGCGGACUUAUAAGUCAGUGGUGAAAGCCUGUCGCUUAACGAUAGAACUGCCAUUGAUACUGUAAGUCUUGAGUAUAUUUGAGGUAGCUGGAAUAAGUAGUGUAGCGGUGAAAUGCAUAGAUAUUACUUAGAACACCAAUUGCGAAGGCAGGUUACCAAGAUAUAACUGACGCUGAGGGACGAAAGCGUGGGUAGCGAACAGGAUUAGAUACCCGGGUAGUCCCUGUCUCUUAUAC